GGGGAAUUUUCCGCAAUGGGCGAAAGCCUGACGGAGCAAGACCGCGUGAGGGAGGAAGGCCUACUGGUUGUAAACCUCUUUUGAUAGGGAAAACACAAUGACGGUACCUAUCGAAUCAGCAUCGGCUAACUCCGUGCCAGCAGCCGCGGUAAUACGGAGGAUGCAAGCGUUAUCCGGAUUUAUUGGGCGUAAAGCGUCCGUAGGUGGCUGGCCAAGUCAGUUGUUAAAGCGUGGAGCUUAACUCCAUAACGGCAAUUGAAACUGGUGGUCUAGAGUGCGAUAGGGGCAAGGGGAAUUCCCAGUGUAGCGGUGAAAUGCGUAGAUAUUGGGAAGAACAUCGGUGGCGAAGGCGCCUUGCUGGGUCUGCACUGACACUGAGGGACGAAAGCU
rnacentral:rRNA from 1 species